CCUACGGGUGGCAGCAGUGGGGAAUAUUGGACAAUGGGCGAAAGCCUGAUCCAGCCAUGCCGCGUGUGUGAAGAAGGCCUUCGGGUUGUAAAGCACUUUCAGUGGGGAAGAAAGCCUUGGGGCUAAUACCCUCGAGGAAGGACAUCACCCACAGAAGAAGCACCGGCUAACUCCGUGCCAGCAGCCGCGGUAAUACGGAGGGUGCGAGCGUUAAUCGGAAUUACUGGGCGUAAAGCGCGCGUAGGCGGUCUGAUAAGCCGGUUGUGAAAGCCCCGGGCUCAACCUGGGAACGGCAUCCGGAACUGUCAGGCUAGAGUGCAGGAGAGGAAGGUAGAAUUCCCGGUGUAGCGGUGAAAUGCGUAGAGAUCGGGAGGAAUACCAGUGGCGAAGGUGGCCUUCUGGACUGACACUGACGCUGAGGUGCGAAAGCGUGGGUAGCAAACAGGAUUAGAUACCCCGGUAGU
rnacentral:rRNA from 1 species